AACGAACGCUGGCGGCAGGCCUAACACAUGCAAGUCGAGCGAGGACUUCGGUUCUAGCGGCGGACGGGUGAGUAACGCGUGGGAAUGUGGCCUUCUCUACGGAAUAGCCCUGGGAAACUGGGAGUAAUACCGUAUACGCCCUAUUGGGGAAAGAUUUAUCGGAGAAGGAUCAGCCCGCGUUGGAUUAGGUAGUUGGUGGGGUAAUGGCCUACCAAGCCGACGAUCCAUAGCUGGUUUGAGAGGAUGAUCAGCCACACUGGGACUGAGACACGGCCCAGACUCCUACGGGAGGCAGCAGUGGGGAAUCUUAGACAAUGGGGGCAACCCUGAUCUAGCCAUGCCGCGUGAGUGAUGAAGGCCUUAGGGUUGUAAAGCUCUUUCAGCUGGGAAGAUAAUGACGGUACCAGCAGAAGAAGCCCCGGCUAACUCCGUG
rnacentral:rRNA from 1 species